rnacentral:rRNA from 1 species
CAGCAGUGAGGAAUAUUGGUCAAUGGGCGUAAGCCUGAACCAGCCAAGUCGCGUGAGGGAUGAAGGAUCUAUGGUUCGUAAACCUCUUUUAUAAGGGAAUAAAGUGCGGGACGUGUCCUGUUUUGUAUGUACCUUAUGAAUAAGGAUCGGCUAACUCCGUGCCAGCAGCCGCGGUAAUACGGAGGAUCCGAGCGUUAUCCGGAUUUAUUGGGUUUAAAGGGUGCGUAGGCGGCCUUUUAAGUCAGCGGUGAAAGUCUGUGGCUCAACCAUAGAAUUGCCGUUGAAACUGGGGGGCUUGAGUAUGUUUGAGGCAGGCGGAAUGCGUGGUGUAGCGGUGAAAUGCAUAGAUAUCACGCAGAACCCCGAUUGCGAAGGCAGCCUGCCAAGCCAUGACUGACGCUGAUGCACGAAAGCGUGGGGAUCGAACAGGAUUAGA